rnacentral:rRNA from 1 species
UACGUAGGGUGCAAGCGUUGUCCGGAAUUAUUGGGCGUAAAGAGCUCGUAGGCGGUCUGUCGCGUCUGCUGUGAAAACCUGGGGCUUAACCCCGGGCCUGCAGUGGGUACGGGCAGACUAGAGUGUGGUAGGGGAGACUGGAAUUCCUGGUGUAGCGGUGAAAUGCGCAGAUAUCAGGAGGAACACCGGUGGCGAAGGCGGGUCUCUGGGCCGAUACUGACGCUGAGGAGCGAAAGCGUGGGGAGCGAACAGG